rnacentral:miRNA from 1 species
UGACCUCUGACCCCUGUCCCCAG